GGACGACGGAUGGCGGUGCUGCUGCCCGCAAUAACCGCCCGUGCUGCCGUGCGUCCAGAGAUCUCUCUCAUCACUUAUCCUUACAUCUACGGCCCUCCCUCCUUAAAAUCGAAAACCCCUGAAAUGACGGGAGCUGCACAUCACGACCCACUGCACCAGGACCGCCACAAUGGGGCCUCAGUCACAUCAGAUCUUCCGCAAGGAAUUCCUUCAACGCAAUCAGAAUUAAGCUGGCUGCAACCAACGUUCCCCCAUAAUGAAGAGGGAAUUAUUACACAUCCAACCCCUUUUCAGUCCCGUCCCAGUGAAGGAACACUGUCCAUCAGGAGGACUGCGGCCUCUACGAGGCAUUACGGACCGACAGCUCAGAAAGUACGGCAGAACUGCAGCACUAACCAGUACUGCCGACCUCAGCUGUGCUGGGCAAGGAGAGGGAAGGGGCUGUCACCAUUUCCCAAGUAGGAGACUUGCACACACUGACCCGGCACAUCCGACCCGCAUGCAGCCUGGCACAGCCCAUCCUACGUCUGCCCUCGGCCCCGCGCCAUAUGGCAGCAGCUCAUCACACUGAGCAGCCCGGCAGGAAUCAGCAAUUCAUCUUUGCAACUCCUUUCUCAGUUGAUGUAAAUCCAUUACCUGGGAAUAGUCAGAAGAAACGUACAGAGCUGCAAUCAGGCAUUCAGCUUAAAAACACAACCACGUCUCAUUACUUUUAAGCCCUCUGUUACCAGAGAAAAACAUCCCUCAUCCACCAUCACACCUCGUCCAUUGCUUUUUGACAGUACGUUAUCAGCUGCUUUCAAGGAGGAAGGACAGGAGUAAAACUUGAUCAGAAGUCCGACCAACACCACGAGAGCUGCAGGCGCUGCCACAGAACUGGCCUGGCACACUGCUCUCGCAUAGACAAGGCCACAUAUCCCAUCUGUUUGAUGGUUUGGUUGCUUUGUAAAAAAAAUAUUUCAAUAAAAAUAUUAAAAGUUACAAUAAGUUUUGUUACCUAUAUCCAUUGACUACAGUAUAUAUUUUACACGGGCUGCUCUGAAAGUAAUGCCUCCUAUUUUAAUACUGGCCCACAACAGAGGCAGCAGUGGUGGUAUGGCAGCAGAGGCUGAACCUUCCCACCAAUCUCACUACAUUUUGUUGCCGUGUGACACAGUGGCGUCCGAUGUGAGGUGGGAUGAAGCAAAGGGGUGGAACUGAAUUCCUCCAUGAAUGUCAACUGCCAUCCACGGCUGCUUGCUGCACGUUUCCAGUGACCACACAGUGGUGUGAGCACAGCGAGGGGUGGGCAGUGAGUUGUAGCAGCAGUGAUAGCAGCAGUGGUGCACCUCUGCUGGUGCAGAUUUUGCUGGGCAUGCAGGCUCUUGUUCAUUGUUGGCAAAAACACAGCUAAUGAAAAACAGUGCUUUGUAGCUAAGAAUUUGCUCUAUCGAGCAGUUGCUGUGCUCUCUGUUGUCGCUUCUAUGGAAGUAAUGAGGAGGCAUUACUUUCAGAGACCUACAUAUACAUGGCCCAAAGCAAUUCCUCUUCACUCAGCAUGGCCCAGGCAACCCAAAAGGUUGGACAUCCAUGUAUUAAAGCUUCAAUACAUUCAACGUUUAAAUGUGCUCUCAACGUGCUUUAUUUAGUACCAGUUCCUAUUUCCCACCGCUCCAUUCUACAGAUUACUAUACAAUAGUUGUGGCAGUUCCUCUGCAUGAGCAUCCAACCAAAUACCACUAUGUAUAUUCAUAACACAACUCACCCCCCAAAUAACGUGUGAUACACUCCACUUAGAUCCCGUCUAAAAAAGGGCAGCCCUUGUGAAAACAUUUCAAAUAAGUAAGGCACAAAAUCUCCUGCCAAGUAACCAACAAAGCACCUACUCCCAAUUAUCUGCAGUUCUACUGGUACGUUUCAACACCUGAAAGAACCACCAGGUCUCGGUCAACUGUAGCACUGUGCAAUUUUCAUCAGUCCAUCUAUUCUGCCUUAUAGUUACAGUUCAACCAGAUGUUUAAAUAAGAUAACACGUUAUCUGCUGGUUGGAAACCUUAAACAACAGUGAUGUUUUUCAAAGCCGUAGAAAAUGCAUGAAACAAGUCAUUUUUGGGGAGCUGAUGCCGGUCCCAGUGAAAGCCACCACACACCAUCAAUUCAGAGCGUGCCCGCAGCCCCACCAGGCUGGGUGACCUCAGGGGCAACAAGUCUCUGGGCAGCGCCAGCUGCCUGCUGCUCUGCUGAGCCCUCAGCCUGCUCCUGUUGGGGAGCACCUCCUGUGAGGCCUCAGUGCACUCUGUGCCUCCACACCAUGCAGACCCCACUGCCCCACAGCGAAGCGCUGCUGUGAUGUGCCAAUGGGUGACUGCUGCCUCAAAGUCAUCCCCAGGGGGACCUCAUGGCACCACAGCUCUAGCAGCUGAGGCACUCUACUCCAGGGAGUUCUGCUUCUGCCUUCUGUGGUUAGAUGGUGAAUUACUGUAAUUAUUAAAAAAAAAUUACCAGUCAUGCCCCUCUUAAAGCAUUAAAAGUU
ensembl:lncRNA